rnacentral:rRNA from 1 species
GUGGAUUAGAUACCCUAGUAGUCCACGCCGUAAACGAUGAGUGCUAAGUGUUAGAGGGGUUUUCCCUUUAGUGCUGUAGCUAACGCGUUAAGCACUCCGCCUGGGGAGUACGGCCGCAAGGCUGAAACUCAAAGGAAUUGACGGGGGCCCGCACAAGCGGUGGAGCAUGUGGUUUAAUUCGAAGUAACGCGAAGAACCUUACCAGGUCUUGACAUCCCCUGACAACCCUGGAGACAGGGCGUUCCCCCCUUCGGGGGGACAGGGUGACAGGUGGUGCACGGCCGUCGCCAGCU